GUCGGACUUCCACUGCUGACCGCUACCGCCGCUUGUCCACUCCGGUUCCAUGGCUGAUUUCGGCUUCUAGAAGCAGCUCUCGCCCUUUUCAUUUCAUCCCACCAAUCGGGAAAUCCGAUGAUUAGAAAGAAACCCUCUUUGGCUUGAUUUCCUUGUGGUGGUGGGCGAUUGCACGGUGGUGGUGUUCGGUUGUGGUUGACCGCGGCAAGGCCGUACCCAAUUCCGAUGGUGGGUGGUUUUGAAGGCUUGAGGAUACCCUCGUUUGUUGCCUGCCUUCAAACUAGUCUGUAUGCCUUCCGGACAGUUGAUUCGCAGGUUGUGAGAUUGAUAUGGAUUCAACAAGGAUAAUGAGGAACUCGGAUUUGAGUCCUCAUCGGGUGGUUUGCCUACUCUGAUACGAUCUUAAAGAUGGUAAUCGAGAGAAACGAGAUUGGUAUUGAGAGACAUCGUAAACAAGCGUAAGAGAGAAUUGGGUUUAAAUUUUUGUGUGUAUAUUCCAUGUACAUUACGUCACUUUAUAUAGGACAAGGAUACAAUGUAAAUAAGGAAAAAUAUAUUCCCAUUCAAUUCUAUAUCAAAUCUCUUCCUUAUAUUCA